AGAGUUUGAUCAUGGCUCAGGAUUAACGCUAGCGGCAGGCCUAAUACAUGCAAGUCGAACGGCAGCGGGUGUAGCAAUACAUGCCGGCGAGUGGCGCACGGGUGCGUAACGCGUAUGCAAUCUACCUGUAACUGGGGAAUAGCCUUCCGAAAGGAAGAUUAAUACCGCAUAAUAUCAUGAAGUGGCAUCAUUUUAUGAUCAAAACUCCGGUGGUUACAGAUGAGCAUGCGUGACAUUAGCUAGUUGGUGAGGUAACGGCUCACCAAGGCUACGAUGUCUAGGGGGUCUGAGAGGAUGAUCCCCCACACUGGUACUGAGACACGGACCAGACUCCUACGGGAGGCAGCAGUAAGGAAUAUUGGACAAUGGCCGCAAGGCUGAUCCAGCCAUGCCGCGUGCAGGAUGAAGGUGCUCUGCAUUGUAAACUGCUUUUGUUCGGGAAUAAACCCUUUCACGUGUGAGAGGUUGAAUGUACCGAAAGAAUAAGGGACGGCUAACUUCGUGCCAGCAGCCGCGGUAAUACGAAGGUCCCAAGCGUUAUCCGGAUUUAUUGGGUUUAAAGGGUGCGUAGGCGGGUUAUUAAGUCAGUGGUGAAAGCUCCCAGCUCAACUGGGAAACUGCCAUUGAUACUGAUAGUCUUGAGUAUGAUUGAAGUGGGCGGAAUGUGUCAUGUAGCGGUGAAAUGCUUAGAUAUGACACAGAACACCGAUUGCGAAGGCAGCUCACUAAGCCAUAACUGACGCUGAUGCACGAAAGCGUGGGGAGCAAACAGGAUUAGAUACCCUGGUAGUCCACGCCCUAAACGAUGAUCACUCGAUGUGUGCGAUAAACUGUACGCGUCCAAGCGAAAGCAUUAAGUGAUCCACCUGGGGAGUACGACCGCAAGGUUGAAACUCAAAGGAAUUGACGG
rnacentral:rRNA from 1 species